GAGCUCAGAGGAAGUGAGGGAAGUGAGGGGUCUCAGAAUCUGGGACUCUGUCCUGGGGGCCAUGGGGGGCCAUGCGGAGCCUUGGAAAAGUUAAGCUAGGUCAGGUUUACCCUCUGGAAGAAUCCCUCUGGUUCCCUAUGGAUCAGGGUCGGGUUUGCCUGGAGGCAGGGUCAUUAAAAAAUAACACUGUACAUCUGUAGUAUAUUUAUGCCAUUUUGAUUCUCCUGAGGGAUUCAUUUAAGCUUCUUAGAAAAGAGUAGCUAGGCCACAAAAGUCUUGGUUUGAAUCAUUCAUUUAACUAUUAUUUAUCAGGUGUCUCCCACGUGGCCGGUGCUGGGGUCCAAUGUUGAGCUCAGAGUUGAGUGGAGAUGUCAGUUCUCGCCCUACCUGGGAGACUGAGGAUCAUGCAUGGGGAGCACCUGGCAUAUACCAACAUAGUGGUAAUGGUAGAGAUCUUCACCAAGGAGGCUGCACUAUGGUGAGCCUCCCAUCAGGAGGAUGCAUCAAGCAAAGGGUACAUCAGAAUGGCCUCAACCACCACCCGGCACACUGACAACCUAGCACUAUGAGUACCUGUUUUCUUUUUCAUGAGCUCCUCUGGGGAGUGAUCUUCUCAGAUGGAAAGGCGGAAGGACGCAGAGAUCCAGACGAGGUUUAGGAACCAGGAGGAAUCAGGGGAUUCAUCCCUGGCUGGUUCCCUCCAUGUCGGGGCUGCCAAGAUCUGAGUCUCAGGCUUGAGUCGUUUCACUUUGCACAAGGAAGAGGAAAGAGGAAGAAGAGAAAGGCAGUUUCUACUAGGUAGGUCUCUUGGAAAUGUCCCUCUCUUUGUUCACAGGAGACCACAGGGAGAGGAAAAAUGGAGGUGACACCCAGCAGACGCCUCUUAUCAGCUCACCUGCCGGGGGUGGGACUUUGUCUCUGACACGGAAAUUUUCCAGUAGAAAAGGAUUCCAUUUUGAACCAGAGUCAUCCUCAGAAGACACUUGCACUACUUGGGGUGUGGCCCUGGAGGUCUGGGGACCCAGCCUGCACACAAAUCAAGAGGGUGGGAGUCUCAGCAGACAAUGAGGCAGGAACGCUCUGGUUUCUAUGUUUGGCAAGAGAUAAGUGUUGGGGGUGGGAAGGAGUUUACUGAUGGGCCUGAAAAAUAUUUUGUUACCGUACCUCGCAAGUUAGAGAUACUCAACGUUUAUGACAGUUGUGUUUCCCUCUGAGGAUUUGUUGAAGGCAGUAGACCCUCUUCCCAGAGAAGCACCAGUGCAUGAUUUUGUGUUGAGAGUCCAGGGCUUCUUGGAGCCACUGAGACCCGCCCAUGAACUCUAUGAGAUGGGAGAAUUGGCAACGACAAAACAAAAAAGUAAUGUCUGUUGGAUGGGGGUAGGGAGGGGGAGGGGAUGAUUGACUGUUUGCUCUCCUGUUCUAACCCACAGCUGCUUUCUGCCCUCUCUCCACCUCACCCCCAUCCCCCCACCGGACCCCAAAGCAGCAGCAGCAGAGGUGACCCCGCGACCUCCCCGGCAGGGUGU